CCUACGGGAGGCAGCAGUGGGGAAUCUUGCGCAAUGGGCGAAAGCCUGACGCAGCAACGCCGCGUGCGGGAAGAAGGCCUUCGGGUUGUAAACCGCUUUCAGCAGGAACGAAAAUGACGGUACCUGCAGAAGAAGGUGCGGCCAACUAUGUGCCAGCAGCCGCGGUGAUACAUAGGCACCAAGCGUUGUCCGGAUUUAUUGGGCGUAAAGAGCUCGUAGGCGGUUCAGUCAGUCGGGUGUGAAAACUCUGGGCUUAACCCAGAGCCUGCACCCGAUACUGCUGUGACUAGAGUUCGGUAGGGGAGCGGGGAAUUCCUGGUGUAGCGGUGAAAUGCGCAGAUAUCAGGAGGAACACCGAUGGCGAAGGCACCGCUCUGGGCCGAAACUGACGCUGAGGAGCGAAAGCAUGGGUAGCAAACAGGAUUAGAUACCCUGGUAGUCCAUGCCGUAAACGUUGGGCACUAGGUGUGGGUUCCAAUCAACGGAAUCCGCGCCGUCGCUAACGCAUUAAGUGCCCCGCCUGGGGAGGUACGGUCGCGAGACUAACUACAAGAGUAGUAGACGNGNGAGACGCGACGACGACGACGACGGAGGAGGAG
rnacentral:rRNA from 1 species